GGCUCCUACACAGUUCUCUUUCUGUUCCAUUCGAUCUCUCUUGUUCUCCCAUUCUUUUUUCAUUCCUGUUCUCAAAGCUCGAACUGAGUUAAGUAUUGAAGAGUCAGAAAUUAGAGAAUUUUUAUCUGAUUUUUUGAUUAAUUUUAUAAAUUAAAAAAAUUUCUAUCAGAUUGUAAGGAUCAUUCCAACCUAAUUUUAUUCGAUUUAAUCAGUCCUAUUCUAAAUUUUGAGU
rnacentral:lncRNA from 1 species